CGUGAGUGAUGAAGGCUUUCGGGUUGUAAAGCUCUGUCAAGUGGGAAGAACAUGCUUGAUGCUAAUACCAUCUUGCACUGACGGUACCACUGAAGGAAGCACCGGCUAACUCCGUGCCAGCAGCCGCGGUAAUACGGGGGGUGCAAGCGUUAUUCGGAAUUAUUGGGCGUAAAGGGCGCGUAGGCGGUCUCUUAAGUCAGAUGUGAAAGCCCGGGGCUUAACCCCGGAAGUGCAUUUGAAACUAAGGGACUUGAGUAUGGGAGAGGGAAGUGGAAUUCCUGGUGUAGAGGUGAAAUUCGUAGAUAUCAGGAGGAACACCGGUGGCGAAGGCGACUUCCUGGACCAAUACUGACGCUGAGGCGCGAAGGCGUGGGGAGCAAACAGGAUUAGAUACCCUGGUAGUCCACGCAGUAAACGGUGAACACUAGGUGUAGCGGGUAUUGACCCCUGCUGUGCCGUAGCUAACGCAUUAA
rnacentral:rRNA from 1 species